UCCCUGGUGGUCCAGUGGCUAAGACUCCACUUUUCCAGUGCAGGGGGCCCAGGUUCAGUUCCUGGUCAGGGAA
rnacentral:tRNA from 1 species